UACGUAGGGUGCGAGCGUUGUCCGGAUUUAUUGGGCGUAAAGAGCUCGUAGGCGGUUUGUCGCGUCGGCCGUGAAAUCUCCACGCUUAACGUGGAGCGUGCGGUCGAUACGGGCAGACUUGAGUUCGGUAGGGGAGACUGGAAUUCCUGGUGUAGCGGUGAAGUGCGCAGAUAUCAGGAGGAACACCGGUGGCGAAGGCGGGUCUCUGGGCCGAUACUGACGCUGAGGAGCGAAAGCGUGGGGAGCGAACAGG
rnacentral:rRNA from 1 species